ensembl:ncRNA lncRNA:CR44384 long non-coding RNA:CR44384
AAGCCGUAAGUCGAUUGUGAACUUUUGGUCUGUAUCCUUUGCAAGGAUUCCACAAAUUGGCUUGUCUCGACAUGACUCUGGCCAGUUAUUCACCGUUCGCCGCAUGGAGACAUAUGUACAUAUAUGUAUAUAUAUCGCUUAUAUUUACCCCGAAUGCGAGUUUCAAGCAGAUCUUUGGUCCCCGGUAAGCGAACCAUUUGUCUGUGUAAAAGAAAUUCUUUGUGCCAUACCAACGAAGAUACGAGAUACAACAGGAACGGCAACGGCUGAGAAGAAUCGACGGACCGGGAACCAAAAUAAAUGCGCAAUGCAUACAUGGAGCGCACAGCGGAGCGAGACGGCACUACAACGUGACAUUCCUUAAAUUUUUGUUUGUGUUCAGGGAACAUUAAAAAAUAUUUUUAUCUUGUGCAAAACCAUGAGGAAUCAACUUCUGAUGGGAAGAAUCCUUUUUUUCCAACUUGCUGCUGCUUGUGUGUCGCUUUGACGUUGCCGAC